rnacentral:rRNA from 1 species
GUACACUCCUACGGGAGGCAGCAGUGGGGAAUUUUGGACAAUGGGCGAAAGCCUGAUCCAGCAAUGCCGCGUGUGUGAAGAAGGCCUUCGGGUUGUAAAGCACUUUUGUCCGGAAAGAAAUCCUUGGCUCUAAUACAGUCGGGGGAUGACGGUACCGGAAGAAUAAGCACCGGCUAACUACGUGCCAGCAGCCGCGGUAAUACGUAGGGUGCGAGCGUUAAUCGGAAUUACUGGGCGUAAAGCGUGCGCAGGCGGUUUGCUAAGACCGAUGUGAAAUCCCCGGGCUCAACCUGGGAACUGCAUGGGUGACUGGCAGGCUAGAGUAUGGCAGAGGGGGGUAGAAUUCCACGUGGAGCAGUGAAAUGCGUAGAGAUGUGGAGGAAUACCGAUGGCGAAGGCAGCCCCCUGGGCCAAUACUGACGCUCAUGCACGAAAGCGUGGGGAGCAAACAGGAUUAGAUACCCCGGUAGUCCC